rnacentral:lncRNA from 1 species
AAAGAUGCCUCCAUGUCGUUCACCAAGAAAUAACCCUUUGAUAACUCCUACUCAACCACAAUCUCCUCCACAAUAUGACCCUGCAGCUCUCCAAGUUGCGGUAGCUGCGGCUACUACAAAAGGCUUGGCUCAAUUCAGUGCUAGUGGUUCUAUCGGGAGUGGAACAGUUGAGCUGUAACAGCCCAAAAUCCCAAGUAUUGUUAAAUUGCAUUUUGGGGUGUUUUAAAGGGGAGACUCGGCGAGUUGGAGCUAGACUCGCCGAGUAGGGUCGCAGACUUGGUCGCGGGUUCGCGACUGGACUCGACGAGUCCAGAUAUGGACUCGGCGAGUCGACGCUGUUCAGCAGAAACCCUAGCCGUUUGGUUUUGGAUCGUAUAUAAUGCCUCUUAGGCCGUCAUUGUCCGUCUUUUGGCCGAUUGAGAAGAACCCUAAUCGUUGUGGACGUCUAGAGCAGGAGAGGAAGCUUUUGGAACCUUGAAGAAUUGGUUAGGCAAGAAGAAGAAGAGUUUUGGCCAAAGGAAUAUCAAGGGGAUCGAGUUCUGAGGUUUGGAGACACAGAGAGGGUGUUAUUCAGGUAAUAUUUCGGAUCAUUUCUGCUAUAUUGAAGUGUGCACGAAUUUAGGGUUUAUGAAACCCAUUUGGAGAUUAGACGGAUUGUAGUGUCGUUACCCAAAUGUUUAUAACCUUGUAUUAGGACCCUUAGAGGUCCAGAAGGUCCCAUGUUUGUUUAUUCGGGAAUAUAUAUGUCUCAGGAAGCAGUUCGAUCGACUGCAUGGCGUGGACUCGCCGAGUCGGAUGAUCAGACUCGGCGAGUAGCUUGAAGAUUCACUGGGACUCGCCGAGUUGUUCUUCAGACUCGGCGAGUGGAGUCGGGGUGGCCCCGCGAUUCUUCCAGGAGUGACUCGUCGAGUCAAAGAGGAUACUCGACGAGUAGAAGGGGAAUCUUAGAGGAUUGAAGGACGACCAGACUCGCCGAGUCGCCAGGGAACUCGCCGAGUCCAGUCGAGCUGACAAUGGACUGUUGACCAGAGUUGACUGGUGUGAUUUCUUAGGGUCAGUUAACGUGGAAGAUAGAAGUAUUAAAAAGAGAUAUAUGAUGUUACAGGGAGCUUGUAGCUCGGAGGAUCAAGUGCAAGGGAUUUUAGGAGUUGCUAUCUUCCAGUGUCCGCGAGGUGAGUCUUCUCACUAUACUUUACCCGGAAGGGUUUGACUGUGUGACCGGAAGGUCGGAUAUGAUAUGUGAUAUGUAUGCUAUAUGUGGUAUGUUAUAUGUUAUAUGUGCUAUGUAUGUUAUGGGCCGGAAGGCGAUUAUGUUAUGGGCCGGAAGGCGAUAUGAUGUGUGAUGGACCGGAAGGUCGGCGUGGGUAAGGCCGGAAGGUUUACCCAGCAGGGACGGAAGUCCCCUGAGACACAUGGACCGGAAGGUCGGGCCUGGAAAGGCGUAUGUGCGUAAGUUGUAUAUUGGGGAACUCACUAAGCUUCGUGCUUACGGUGUUUAUGUUAUGUUGUUUCAGGUUCUUACAGUAACGCGGGAUGGCAACGGUUCGAUUGUACACACCGAAGAAAGAGUUGUGUUUUGGAGGAUCCUGGUCUUCUAUUAUAAUGAAAAUGAAACUAUGUUUUGUAAUUCGAAUGUGAAUAAGAUUUUAAACAAGUGUUUUUAAUAUUAAAUUGAUUAUUUAAAUGAAAAUUUUGUUUUUGGAAAUCAUGGUGUUACAAAUUGGUAUCAGAGCCUUGGUUUGAGGGAUUCGGACGCGCCUACGGGUAAAUCUGGACUCAAACUGAGGAAGUAAGAAAAAGUUUUCCAAAUAAAUGGUUUUCUAAAAGUGAAUAAGAGUUCAAAGAGAAAGCAAGAAAGAGCAGUGUGUACAAUCAGCCAGAGCCAAACGGUGAUUUCCCAAAAUACCCUUACUUUUGUAUUAUGAAAUAUCUAUUAUGCACUUUAUGAGACAUUAUUGCAUGCUAGAGACAGGCUAGGUAUUUCACAUCUUAGGACUAGAGUGGCCUGAUUUGUGAUGCCUUAGUCUAGGGUUUGCUGUUAUAUGUGCGUUAUGCUUUUGUGUGUAUGUGAUGAGUGAGAGUAUCUAGUUAGAACGCACAAGGGGUAAAGCUACGGGGUACAGAGGUACUUCCGAGGAUGAGCCGAGAAGGUGGAGCUAUCACAGCUAAGGAGUCCUAUGUAUGCUUCGAUGCUCGAAUGCUGCUUGCUUCGUGCUUUGUGGAGUUCUCGAUGAUGGGAGACAGCUACUAAGUGAGUAUGACGAUACUCAGGAGGUAGAUGUUUGGCAUCAUCAGGAGCUCUUCAGCAGCUGAUAGCAAAGAAGUGGGAGGACGGCGGAAUGGGCUAGAGAUUAAACCUAGCCAAGGUGGGUGCGCGAGUAGAGUAGAGGAUUUCGCUGGAAAGCGAAUAUGCAAGAUGGGAUUGGUGAAAAAAGAGCAGGUCGAUCAGCUACUUAGGAACUCUGGGAUGGUCCGUGUGGAAAGUAUGGGUAGAUGUGGCAGGUAGUAUGGGCCCGUACUACUGAAAGCAGAGGACCCAUACUUGAUACAGGGGGCAUUCUAAAGGUCCUAAGGAACAGAUUGAGGGGUGAUGUUAUGGUUCGGAUACCAUACAUCGGAGCGGAUACAGAGUGAUGUUAUGGUCCGGGCACCAUACAUCGGAACAGAUUGAGAUAGAUGUUGUGGUUCGAGUGCUAUACAUUGGAGCAGAUUGAGGAGUGGUGCUAUGGUUCAGGUACCAUACACCGAAGCAUGUUGAGGAGGGAUGUCAUGGGAUGAGUACCAUGGUUCGUAGUGGAUGAUGCUUGUGGCUAUCUUGUUAUCCGGUUAUCGAUCGGACGAGCACGAGCGAGCGGGAUGCGAGGAUUCGCGAGAUCCGGCGUGAUGAGGUUGCUGCAUUGUUGCGGGUUGAGUCGCCAGAAUUGUUUGGGUCGAUCAGGACCACUAUGAUUGAAGUAGUUUGAUGAGCGAUAUGCGGCUUUCGCAGAGACGGCUGCCGCGGCGGUUACAGCGGCUGUAGCAACGGCAAAGAAAGGGACUAGUCGGGGUUUUCAGUAUCGGGACUUCUAUUAUGCGAAGCCUCCCACAUUCGAUGGAGUUCAGGACUCGAUUGUUGCUAUGAGAUGGUUAUCAGACAUGGAGGGGUGUUUCUCCACGAGUUUAUGCCCUGCUGAUCAGAGGGUGGGGUGUGCUCUGAACCUGUUGAGGCUCGGGGCGAAGGAUUGGUGGAGAUUGACCACGAGGUCAUUUUCCGAUGCGCAGAGGGCUGCGGUUUCAUGGGAUCAAUUCAGAGGGAUGUUCAGUACUCGCUAUGUUCCGCGAGAUGAAAAGGAGAAAUUGGCUCGGGAAUUCCUUGAGCUGAAGCAGGAUUUGGAGUCGGUGACUGAGAUCACCAGGAUGUUUAUUGGGAGGGCGAUGUUUCGCCCUGAGUUCGCUUCGGAGCAGGCUCAGAUGCCCCGAUAUCCGAGUAUGCUCAAGGGGGUAUCAGACAGUUCGUGUCUGCGCGGAGGUGCGAGACCCUGUUGGAGUUGCAGAAGGCCGCCAUGUGGCGUGAGUUAGAGGUUAAGUUGCAGUUGCGUGAGCUGGGACAGGCCCCGAUGCAGUCGCAGUCGGCGCCGAAACGGUUCAGGACCGUAGACGUUGAAAUGGGGGAUCGGAGCGGUCACACUUGUGGGAAGUGUGAGAGAGAUGGCACCGGAGCUUGUUGGCCCAAUGGUGCAUGCCGCGAGUGCGGAAAGGAGGGGCAUGGUGCACGGGAUUGUCGGCAGUCAGUGCCAAUUCGGGAUUCCAGGAUUUGUUAUCAGUGUCGGCAGGUUGGACAUUUGAGGGUCAACUGUCCACAGCUUUUGCAGGAUCGGUGCAGGCUCUAGCACCGGCCACCUUGAGGAGUUCAGGAGGAGGACAGGAUGGAGUAGAGCCCAAGGGCUCAGGGUUGUGCUUAUCGGCUUGCGGCAGAGGGAGACGGAGCAGUGCCGGAGGCAGCUGCGGGUAUGAUGCUCUCUUGAUGUCUUGAGUAGCUUGCGUUGAUUGUGGCGUAUUGUUUGUGCUGGUGUCUGGUGUGGAUUUCGAUGCGGUAUUCGUUGUUUCGCGGGUUUGGCAUGGUUAUGGAUUGGUGCUUCAGGUUUUCGCUUGGCAUUCGUUGUUCCCUGAUGGUUUGGUAUGAUGAUAGUUUGGUGUUUUGGUACCGGUAGCCUUGUGCGGUUUUCGAUGCGAUAUUCAACCUUUGGCAGGUUGUGGGUUUGGUUAUGGGUUAUUGCUUGGGAAUUCCGUUGGUCAUCGUUCGUGAGGGUUGAUAGUGGAGAUGCGGCACUGGGUUGAAUGACGGGUAGCAUCUGCAGUUGUGGAGUGGAUAAUUGAAAGAUCGGAUUCUUUUGAGCGGAUUGAUCAGGGAGGAGAUGUGUUUUGCUGAGGGUUGCUUACGCUUGUGGGAAGCAGUCAGUGGGUAAAUGUUCUCUUUGUGCAGGAUGGUUCUGAAAGGUCGUUAAUGACGAUCGGUGGCAGUUAGUCAGUGCUUUAGUGGGGGAGAAUUGUAAAAUUCUCCGGGAGAUCGAUGAGUAUGUAAGGGUGCUUAGCUGUUGGGAUUCAGCAGUGUUUGUCAGCGCAAAGUAUAGGCCGACGAGAGCGAGUGUUGAGUAUGCGGGGCGAGAUACAGACCUAGGGCAUUUGAUUGUGGAGGCCUGAGAGGAGGUCGGGAUCAAGCUUGAGUAAGUAAUCGGAAUUUUGCGAUCAGAGUAUUGGUACGUUUGAGGUACGUGAUGGGUUGUACUGCAUUAAUCCCACGGGAUUAUGUUGUGCAUGUUUCUAGAGCUGGAACCGGAAGGUUCCCAGAGUUAGAACCUGAGGGUUCGCAGAGUUGGGUGUACGGACCCAUAGAGAUAUAGCCUCGGGUGGCUAGUAUGUGUUAUGAGAGUCGGUCCAGUCAUACUGGAGACUCUGUUGGUAUUGCUGGAUUAGUUUGAGAUUUGCGGAUCGCGUAUGUUGCAGUGUGAUUGCAUUGGAAGGUCUGGCCCCGGGUUAUUGAUCUUGUUUAGCGGAGGCAGUGAUUUUGAUGAGUGGAGAGAGUGCAUGGGAUUGAGAGCCCCUGCAAUGAGAACCAGAGUAUGUGAAUAGCAGUUACGCAAAAAGGGUGGUGUCGCUUGGGGCGAGCACCGUGGCACCGGUUGGAGUGGCAUUAUGUUCAAGAGAGUUCCGUGGAAAAGGAAAAGAGGAGGGUAUGUAACUCCGAAGGGGGUGCAAGUUCACGAAAGUGAAAGCUGCAGAGCAGAGUUAUGGUUAGAGUAUUUCGAGUAUGGUUUUGAGCAUCGUGUUCGCGGCAGUGGAGUAGGAACCCAUCCGGUUGGGAUGUCUGUUGAGGCUCAGAAGGGAUGCAUGGAGAGAGAAAAUUUUAAAUUCUCAGUGUGAAUCUGAUCAGAGUGUAGGGUGGAUGUAGUGGUUCAUCUUGGGAGAUGUUCGAGGAUAUCAUCAGUGUAUCGGGUCUUUCCACCUGCGGGUGUUGGGACUAGUUCAGUAUGUGUAUGUGAUGGCAAGAGGGAACUUGUGAGAGUUGAUCUGAGAGGGAGAACGGAUCUCUCAGUCGGUCCGGAAUGGGCAAAGUGGGCUUUGGAUCGGGGAUCCGGUGGUUCAGGGUUUCCUAACCCUUAUGGGUUGAGUGAUCGUUGAGAUUUGGAGCAGAGUGCAUCGUGGGUAAUUUCCGAUUACAGAGAGUGAUGAGCAGUUCAGAGUUCGUACUUUAGUUGACAAAGCAGACUCAGCAGGUUAAAGAGAGUUAGUGAUCGUCUAGAGUUAACAGGAAAGUUAUGCAGGCAGACGCCGUUACGAGCAUGUGAUUCAGGUCAGCGACUUCGUAUUUCUGACGGGGUGUUUCGAUUUAGGAAGAGGGGUAAAUGGGGGGCCCCGGUAUGUUGGGUCUUUUCGUGAAGGUGCGAAGGUAGGAAGGGUGGCCUAUCGUUUGGAGCUGUCAACGGAAUUGGGACGGAUCCAUGACACUGGUAUGUGUCGCAAUUGAAGAGGUGUAUAGCGGAUGAGUCAGCAGUGGUUCUACUAGAGAACGAUUAGGUGGAUGCGAGCCUGUGUUACGUCAAGAGGCCAGUGGCCGUCGGAGAUUGGAAGAUCAAGGUUCUGAGGAACAAGGAGGUACCUCUGGUAUUGGUUCAGUAGCGACCUCGGAAGAUAUCGGAAGUGUUUAGGGAAGCCGAAACGUGUGAUGCGGGAGCAGCAUCCAGAACUAUUUUCAGAGUGAGACUUCGAGGGCGAAGUCUAAUUCUAGUGGGGGAGAAUUGUAACAGCCCAAAAUCUCAAGUAUUGUUAAGUUGCAUUUUGGGGGUGUUUUAAAGGGGAGACUCGACGAGUUGGAGCCAGACUCGCCGAGUAGGGUCGCAGGUUUGGUCGCGGGUUCACGACUGGACUCGACGAGUCCAGAUAUGGACUCGGCGAGUCGACGCUGUUCAGUGGAAAACCCUAGCCGUUCAGUUUGGGAAGUAUAUAAGGGAUCUUAUGCCUCCAUUGUUCGCCUUUUGGCCGACUGAGAAGGACCCUAAAUCGGUUGUGGGCAUCCAGAACAAGGAUUGAAGAUCAUUGGUGAUUUGAGGAAGUUAUUGUCCAAGAAGGAGAAGGUUUUGGCUAAUGGGACAGCAAGGGAAUCACGUUUUGAGGCUUGGGGACACUGAGAGUGCAUGAUUCAGGUAACCUUUCGGAUUAUUUUCUGUUAUGUGAAUGUGUGCAUGGAUUUAGGGUUUGUGAAACCCAUUUGGAGAUUAGAUGGAUUGUUGUGUUGUUAUCCAACGUUUAUAACCCUGUAUUAGUACCCCUUAGAGGUCCAGAAGGUCCUAUGUUUGUAUAUUCGGGAAAAUAUGUAUCUCAGGAAGCAGUUUGAUCGACUGCAUGGCGUGGACUCGCCGAGUCGGAUGAUCAGACUCGGCGAGUAGCUUGAAGAUUCACUGGGACUCGCCGAGUUGUUCUUCAGACUCGGCGAGUGGAGUCGGGGUGGCCCCGCGAUUCUUCCAGGAGUGACUCGUCGAGUCAAAGAGGAUACUCGACGAGUAGAAGGGGAAUCUUAGAGGAUUGAAGGACGACCAGACUCGCCGAGUCGCCAGGGAACUCGCCGAGUCCAGUCGAGCUGACAAUGGACUGUUGACCAGAGUUGACUGGUGUGAUUUCUUAGGGUCAGUUAACGUGGAAGAUAGAAGUAUUAAUAAGGGAUAUAUGAUGUUACAGGGAGCUUGUAGCUCGGAGGAUCAAGUGCAAGGGAUUUUAGGAGUUGCUAUCUUCCAGUGUCCGCGAGGUGAGUCUUCUCACUAUACCUCACCCGGAAGGGUUUGAUUGUGUGACCGGAAGGUCAAGUAUGUUAUGUGUUAUGUUUAUAUGCUAUAAAUGGAAAGUUAGCUGCUACGCGUGAUAUACAUGCUUAUAUAUGGGCCGGAAGGCAAGGUAUUAUGUGACAGAAAGGUCAGGUAUGAUAUAUGAUAUAUGUGCUUUAUGUGUUAGAGUAAUUGUAUUAUGUGUUAUACAUGUGUAUGGGCCGGAAGGCGAUAUAGAUUAUGUGGAUCGAAAGAUCCGGGCCGGAAGGCAAUGUUAUGUGGAUCGAAAGAUCCGGGCCGGAAGGCAAUGUUAUGUGGAUCGAAAGAUCCGGGCCGGAAGGCAAUGUUAUGUGGAUCGAAAGAUCCGGGCCGGAAGGCAAUGUUAUGUGGAUCGAAAGAUCCGGGCCGGAAGGCAAUGUUAUGUGGACCGAAGGGUCCGGGCCGGAAGGCGUAUGUGCGUAAGGUAUUUUGGGGAACUCACUAAGCUUCGUGCUUACGUUGUUCAUGUUAUGUUGUUUCAGGUUCUUACAGUAACGCGGGAUGGCAACGGUUCGAUUGUACACAC